AUUGAACGCUGGCGGCAGGCUUAACACAUGCAAGUCGAGCGAGCGGCGGACGGGUGGGCAAUGUCUGGGAAACUGCCUGAUGGAGGGGGAUAGCUACUGGACACGGUAGCUAAUACCGCAUUCCAUCAGCUGUGCCCAGAUGGUAUUAGCUAGUAGGUGGGGUAAUGGCUCACCUAGGCGACGAUCCGUAGCUGGUCUGAGAGGAUGAACAGCCACACUGGAACUGAGACACGGUCCAGACUCCUACGGGAGGCAGCAGUGGGGAAUAUUGCACAAUGGGCGCAAGCCUGAUGCAGCCAUGCCGCGUGUGUGAAGAAGGCCUUCGGGUUGUAAAGCACUUUCAGCGAGGAGGCGUUACUCGCAGAAUAAGCACCGGCUAACUUCGUGCCAGCAGCCGCGGUAAUUC
rnacentral:rRNA from 1 species